rnacentral:rRNA from 1 species
AUCCAUUUGAAUGGUAUUAGUUAUGAUCUUUUAAGCUCAAAUAACUUGGCGGUAAAAUACCUAUAUAGAGGAACCUGUAAAUUAAUUGAUAAUCCACGAUAAACUUUACUUUAUACUAUAUUUGUAUAUCUCUAUAUUUUGGAAUGUUUUGUAAGAAAUUUUCUUUUUCUUAGGAUUUAUAUUAGGUCAAGAUGCAGUUUUUAUAAAGUUUUUAUGGGUUACUAUAAUUUUAAAUUUUUUUAGGAUUUUUUUUAUAAUUAAAAUUAUUAAUCAGGAUUUAAUAGUAAUUUUAAUUAAUUAAUUAAUUUGAAUUAAUGCACUGUUUUAUGCACA